rfam:Linderina pennispora strain ATCC 12442 DL89scaffold_7, whole genome shotgun sequence.
AGUCGCUUGGCCGAGUGGUUUAAGGCGGCAGACUUAAGUGCUUUUGUUAAGCGUAUGAUAUCUGCUCUCGUACGAGAUCGUGGGUUCGAACCCCACAGCGACUA